rnacentral:rRNA from 1 species
CACCAGACUCCUACGGGAGGCAGCAGUGGGUCCCCCUGGGCAAUGUUCGCAAGCCUGACUCAGCAACGCCGCGUGCCGGAAGAGGGGUUUCGGCUCGUAAACUUCUAUCAACAGGGACGAAAGAAAUGCAGGUACCUGAAUAAGAAGCCCCGGCUAACUACGUGCCAGCAGCCGCGGUAAUACGUAGGGGGCCAGCGUUAUCCGGAAUUACUGGGUGUAAAGGGUGAGUAGGCGGCAUGGUAAGCCAGAUGUGAAAGCCUUGGGCUUAACCCGAGGAUUGCAUUUGGAACUAUCAAGCUAGAGUACAGGAGAGGAAAGCGGAAUUCCUAGUGUAGCGGUGAAAUGCGUAGAUAUUAGGAAGAACACCAGUGGCGAAGGCGGCUUUCUGGACUGAAACUGACGCUGAGGCACGAAAGCGUGGGGAGCGAACAGGAUUAGAUACCCUCGUACC